rnacentral:rRNA from 1 species
AAGAUAUUAAGAGUGGAUGGUGGAUGCCUUGGGUAGUAGAGGCGAUGAAGGACGCACUAGACUGCGAUAAGCUACGGGGAGCUGUCAAGAAGCAUUGAUCCGUAGGUGUCCGAAUGGGGCAACCCAAUCCACAGCAAUGUGGAUUACUCUAUUUAUAGAGAGCGAACCUAGCGAAGUGAAACAUCUCAGUAGCUAGAGGAAAAGAAAUCAAGUGAGAUUCCCUCAGUAGUGGCGAGCGAAAGGGGAAGAGGGCAAACCGGGUGCUUGCACUCGGGGUUGAGGACGGCAACAUUCAAGGGGUUUUUCUAGCAAAGUUGUUUGGAAAGACAAGCCAUAGAAGGUGAUAGCCCUGUAUGCGAAAGGAAAACCCUAGAUAGCCGGAUCCAGAGUAGGCCAGGACACGGGAAAUCCGGGCUGAAGCCGGGGAGACCACUCUCCAACCCUAAAUACUACUACUACACCGAUAGCGCACAAGUACCGUGAGGGAAAGGUGAAAAGAACCGUGGGUAACGGAGUGAAAUAGAACCUGAAACCAUCUACUUACAAUCAUUCAGAGCCCUAUGAUUUAUCAGGGUGAUGGACUGCCUUUUGCAUAAUGAUCCUGCGAGUUGUGGUGUCUGGCAAGGUUAAGUGAAAACGAGCCGUAGCGAAAGCGAGUCUGAAUAGGGCUAUUUAGUCAGACGCUGCAGACCCGAAGCCAAGUGAUCUAUCCAUGGCCAAGUUGAAACGAGUGUAACAGCUUGUGGAGGACUGAACCCGUGCCCAUUGAAACGGGCUGGGAUGAGCUGUGGAUAGGGGUGAAAGGCCAAACAAACUUGGUGAUAGCUGGUUCUCUUCGAAAUAUAUUUAGGUAUAGCCUCAAGUCAUGACAAGAGGGGGUAGAGCUCUGAUUGGGCUAGGGUCGCCGCAGUACCAAACCCUGUCAAACUGCGAAUACCUUUUGUUGUAUCUUGGGAGUCAGGCGGUGGGUGAUAAAAUCAAUCGUCAAGAGGGAAACAACCCAGACUACCAACUAAGGUCCCCAAGUUCUAUUCUGAGUGGAAAAAGAUGUGUGGUUACUCAAACAACCAGGAGGUUGGCUUAGAAGCAGCCAUCCUUUAAAGAAAGCGUAACAGCUCACUGGUCUAGUGAUCAUGCGCUGAAAAUAUAACGGGGCUAAGAUAGACACCGAAGUUGUAGAUUAUGUUUCACACAUAGUGGUAGAAGAGCGUUCUGUGCAGCACUGAAGGCAUACCGGUAAGGAGUGUUGGAGCGCACAGAAGUGAGCAUGCAGGAAUGAGUAGCGAUAAGAUGCGUAAGAAUCGUAUCCGCCGUAAAUCUAAGGUUUCCUACGCGAUGUUCGUCAUCGUAGGGUUAGUCGGGUCCUAAGCCAAGUCCAAAAGGGGUAGGCGAUGGCAAAUGGGUUAAUAUUCCCAUACCAAUUGCAAUGUGCGAUGGGAGGACGCAUAAAGUUAGGCGAGCCAGCUGAUGGAAGUGCUGGUCGAAGGGUGUAGAUUGGGAGAGUGGCAAAUCCGCUCCUGUAUUUGAAACCUGACAGGCUCUCUAAGACCUUCGGGUCAAGGGGAGAAUCGCUGAUACUAUCGUGCCAAGAAAAGUCUCUAAGUUUAGUUGCAAUUGUCCGUACCGCAAACCGACACAGGUAGAUGAGAUGAGUAUUCUAAGGCGCGUGGAUGAACUCUCUUUAAGGAACUCUGCAAACUAGCACCGUAAGUUCGCGAUAAGGUGUGCCUACUCUAAGUAGGUCUCAGCAAAGAGUCCCUCCCGACUGUUUACCAAAAACACAGCACUUUGCCAACUCGUAAGAGGAAGUAUAAGGUGUGACGCCUGCCCGGUGCUCGAAGGUUAAGAGGAUGGGUUAGCCGCAAGGCGAAGCUUUGAAUUGAAGCCCGAGUAAACGGCGGCCGUAACUAUAACGGUCCUAAGGUAGCGAAAUUCCUUGUCGGUUAAAUACCGACCUGCAUGAAUGGCGUAACGAGAUGGGAGCUGUCUCAAAGAGAGAUCCAGUGAAAUUGUAGUGGAGGUGAAAAUUCCUCCUACCCGCAGCAAGACGGAAAGACCCCGUGGACCUUUACUAUAGCUUAGCACUGCUAAUGGGAAUGCCAUGCGCAGGAUAGGUGGGAGGCUGUGAAGUAAGGGCUUUGGCUCUUAUGGAGCCAUCCUUGAGAUACCACCCUUGGCGUUUUUGUUAGCUAACUGGCCUAAGUCAUCCUUAGGCAGGACAAUGCUUGGUGGGUAGUUUGACUGGGGCGGUCGCCUCCUAAAAAGUAACGGAGGCUUACAAAGGUUAGCUCAUGGCGGUUGGAAAUCGCCAGCUGAGUGUAAUGGCACAAGCUAGCUUAACUGCAAGAGAGACAACUCAAGCAGGGACGAAAGUCGGUCAUAGUGAUCCGGUGGUUCUCGUGUGGAAGAGCCAUCGCUCAAAGGAUAAAAGGUACCCCGGGGAUAACAGGCUGAUCUCCCCCAAGAGCUCACAUCGACGGGGAGGUUUGGCACCUCGAUGUCGGCUCAUCGCAUCCUGGGGCUGGAGCAGGUCCCAAGGGUAUGGCUGUUCGCCAUUUAAAGCGGUACGCGAGCUGGGUUCAGAACGUCGUGAGACAGUUCGGUCCCUAUCUGCUGUGGGCGUAGGAAAGCUGAGGAGAGCUGUCCCUAGUACGAGAGGACCGGGAUGGACAUGCCACUGGUGCACCAGUUGUUCUGCCAAGAGCACCGCUGGGUAGCCACGCAUGGUUGUGAUAAGAGCUGAAAGCAUCUAAGCUCGAAGCCAACUCCAAGAUAAGCUUUCCCUGAAGCUCGCAUGAAGACUACAUGUUUGAUAGGGUGGGUGUGUAAGUGCAGCAAUGCAUUUAGCUAACCACUACUAAUAGAGCGUUUGGCUUGUU